UGCUCUGAGUCAACACAAUCGUGGCUCAAUCACCAGAAAGAUAGAUAUCUUCAUUUUUCUGCAUACAAGGUGUGUAGCCAGGCUUGUAGAAGGCACUGGACAUCACAGAUUCUGAUGGGAGAACUUGAAACUACAGUGAAUGCAGAGAACACAUGUGUGGGAAGAGGGUAUGGGCAUUUGUGCCAGAAGAAGGCCAAAGAUAGAGGCCAUAGAGUCUGGAGUGACCAGGAGAGAUGUCAAGUCUGCACAUACAGAGUAGCCUGAAGACAGAAGCCCGGAGGAGGAAAAAUACAGCUGAUGAAAAUGAAAAGUCAGUCCAAAGAACAGAAGAAGCUGGUGUCAAAGAAACACACAUAUCAAGCUGUAUAUCCCAAAUGCUGAUUAAUAUAAAUACAAAUAUCUGCAAAAUAAAAUCUUCCUGAAACCAUUAAAA